GACGAACGCUGGCGGCGUGCCUAACACAUGCAAGUCGAACGGUAAAGCGCGGCGUUUGUUGUUUUUGGGAGAGUCGAGCAGGGGUGUGUAACGCGUAGGUAACCCCCUUGGUUUUGGGGGAACAUUAGGGGACUGGGGAGAAAACACGGCAUGAAAUGCUUUAUCGCAUGGUGGGUUGGUGAAUGUCGGCGGUGGGGGAUGGACUCGCGGCUUAUCAGCUUGUUGGUGGGGUAGUGGGUUACCAAGGCUUUGACGGGUAGCCGGCCUGAGAGGGUGACCGGCCACAUUGGGACUGAGAUACGGCCCAGACUCCUACGGGAGGCAGCAGUGGGGAAUAGUGCACAAUGGGCGGAAGCCUGAUGCAGCAACGCCGCGUGCGGGAUGACGGCCUUCGGGUUGUAAACCGCUUUCGCCUGUGACGAAGCGUGAGUGACGGUAAUGGGUAAAGAAGCACCGGCUAACUACGUG
rnacentral:rRNA from 1 species